GUCGGAACCUGAGACAACGACCGAACUCUUUUGUGGUGGGCCCCCAUUAACUUCUUGCGACCUCUAUGGUAAUUGCCUCAACGGCGGGUGGUGCAGACCGACCGGAGAAGAGGAGUAUAUCUGUCUGUGUGCCCCGGGUUACUACGGAAAGAAUUGCGAGUAUGAAGGCGACGAGCCCUUGUCCGGGACUACCAUAGCAUAGGUUAUUGAUCGGAUAAUGAAGCAAUGAAAGG